rnacentral:rRNA from 1 species
AUUGAACGCUGGCGGCAGGCUUAACACAUGCAAGUCGAACGAGUGGCGGACGGGUGAGUAAUGCUUGGGAAUCUGCCUGGUAGUGGGGGAUAACGUCCGGAAACGGGAGCUAAUACCGCAUAUUAUCCGAGCGGCCGAUGUCUGAUUAGCUUGUUGGCGGGGUAAAGGCUCACCAAGGCGACGAUCAGUAGCGGGUCUGAGAGGAUGAUCAGCCACACUGGGACUGAGACACGGCCCAGACUCCUACGGGAGGCAGCAGUGGGGAAUUUUGGACAAUGGGCGCAAGCCUGAUGCAGCCAUGCCGCGUGUCUGAAGAAGGCCUUCGGGUUGUAAAGGACUUUUGUCAGGGAAGCGGUACCUGAAGAAGAAGCACCGGCUAACUACGUGCCAGCAGCCGCGGUAAUAC